rnacentral:lncRNA from 1 species
GUCCUUGACAAAAACGGUGUUGUUCAGCUCAUCUACAACAACCAGUUCCAGCCUGAGAAACACAUUGACGAGACCUUGAAGUUUCUUAAAGCUGCUUGAUCAUUCUCUCUUUCUCUUUCUUCGUCCUUAAUGCAUGUCUCAUGUCUGGCUCCAUGACCUUCCCAUACUGUUUCUGUUGAUUAUGAAUUUUCAAUAAUACCAUGCUAUACUAAUGAGAAGUGAGUUGGCUUUGGUCUGGUAAAAAGAUCACAACGGGAUAAGUAUUGAAGAGUGGUUAAAAUGUUGGUCAGAGUUGGAUUGGCAAAGAAUGUUGUUUCAUUUAUAUGGCUUGAAUGUUUGCUCACUUCAAAAUCUUGCUCACCAUUGACGUUGAAGAAAGAAGCUUUUGAAAGAAAAAAUGAAGACAAGAAAGAGGCAAAAGCUUUGAAGACAACUAAUUCGGUAAACAAAGAAUCUCAACCUUGUGAAUGUUGAGAUCAUCUUUUUUACGGAACAUCAUUAACAGUUUAUCUUCUUGAACCUCUAUAUCAUCGUAAAGAUUGGGCUUUUCACGUUGAAGAUUUCGAAAGUUUUGCUCUCUCAGCUUGUUAUCUCAUCAAGCUUAUGAUAUAGGUAACUCGAGCCCUUGAUUAGAAUUGUAAAACACAAAGCUUUCUUGAUUUUAACUAUAGAGAUUGGAACUCACGUCUCAACCUUGUAUCAUUUGUAUAUACAUUGGAACUAUGUAAAACAUCAAAACAAUUCGGCCUCUAAUAUUUGAAAUUUAAAACGGUUAUUUCUUCUCAUUGUGUUUCUUUCUUGAUUUGAGUAUAGACAGGAAUAAAGGUAGAUCCUUUGGAUUAUAUGAAGAAUAUGGCAAACCUCUGAUUUUUUCACAUUUGUAUCAAACGACGACGUAAUGAGUCAGAAACACCGAGGGCCUCUCGUUUCAUGAGAGAGAGAAAAAAAAUCUUAUCUUUGUGACAGCGGUGGUGGUGUGUGAUGUUGUCAGCCAUGGCAAAGACAGAGCAACAACGAUCUCUCUCUUUUCCCUUCUUCUGUGUCUGUCUUUAAAUAGAGUCUCUUUGAAACGAAGCAGCUUUGUCCUGUUUUGAUAUCCAUGGCUUUACCUUCGUGCUUAAAGACUGGAGUUUUAAUGUCUCCGGCCACUGGAAUUAAUUUUUCCGGCAGUCUUAUGAAGUUGGACAGUGGCUUUGCCGUUCCGACAAAGUUACAGAGUAAUCGAAAAGGUGAUCGAGAAAGAUUGAGAAUCCAAGCUGUCUUCAGUUUCCCUCCUGCGUUUCUGACAAGAAACGGUCGAGCUGAGAAGCAGAAACAGCUCAAACAAGAACUUCUUGAAGCCAUUGAGCCUCUUGAACGCGGUGCUAUGGCCUCGCCUGAUGACCAGCUUCGGAUUGAUCAGGUUCUUGAUUUCUCUUCCUUUAGGAACCAUUAGGGUCUAGAGAAUGUGAUUGAGAGACAAGUCUGAGUGACUUUUGUUUGUAUGGAGACAGUUAGCGCGUAAGGUGGAAGCAGUUAAUCCCACCAAGGAGCCUUUGAAAUCUGAUUUGAUCAAUGGGAAAUGGGAGCUUAUUUAUACAACCUCUGCUUCGAUUUUGCAGGCAAAGGUUAGGGCUUGUGUUGUUAUUGUUGUGUCUAAGUUUGCUUUUUUUUCUUGGCUUGUUGUGUCAUUCUCUUUUAUCUCUUAAACAAUGCAACAGAAACCAAGGUUCUUAAGAUCAAUUACCAACUACCAAUCUAUCAAUGUGGAUACAUUGAAGGUGCAAAACAUGGAGACUUGGCCUUUCUAUAACUCGGUAAUGUUUCAUUGUGGCUUGACUUGGCUCUUAACAAAGGAUAAAGACCAAACUUUUUAUCAUCAAUAUAGCUCUUUGGCGAGUCUUUCCUAUGUAUAAGUAAUAUUCCUUUAGCUGAGUUUGUAAAAGGAGUCUCAUAUAUUAGCAAACUACAAUCUUUUCAUAGGUAACUGGAGACAUAAAACCCCUCAAUUCGAAGAAGGUUGCUGUGAAACUCCAAGUGUUUAAAAUUCUCGGCUUUGUAAGUACACUAAAACUCUUACUGCUAUACGUGUGUGUGUCGAUAAGAGAACCUUACUGAUUCAGACACCAUAUGCUUCAUUUACUGAUUGGUGUGUGCUGUGCAGAUUCCUGUAAAAGCACCUGAUAGUGCACGCGGUGAACUAGAGAUUACCUAUGUGGAUGAGGAACUACGGUCAGUAGUGAAUGCACGUUUUCAUUUCUAUCGAACAAACCUUAAAACCUUAAAACAAUGUUUAUGUUUUGCAGGUUAUCAAGGGGUGACAAAGGCAACUUGUUUAUAUUGAAGAUGUUCGAUCCCACUUAUCGAAUCCCUCUCUGAUCUGUCGAACGAAAAUGGUCCGAGCCAUCCAUCAUACAUGCCUGAUACCCGCUUGUUCUGUCUCUCUUCAUCAUGUAUGUAAUCUAACAUAAAAAUAAUUAAUAAGAGGGAAUAAAAAGAGACGAGCUUUUUUCAUUGUUUCAACUUGUUCAAAUCAAAGAUUCUGAAUCUUGAUUUGGUUGAAUUGUGCUUACUUGAUCAGUUGGCUCCAAUCCUAAACUAUAUGAUACUGAAUCAGUACAAUCACCUUGAAGUUCCUCAAAGCUGCUUAUAUAGUUAUAUCAUUCUCUCUUUCAUGCAUGUCUCAUGUCUGUCUCCAUGACCUUCCUAUAUUGUUUCUGUUGAUUAUGAAUUUUCAAUAACACUAAGUUAAAC